rnacentral:lncRNA from 10 species
GAGAGAAAUCACACUACCAUCAAAGACAACGGGUCAAAAAGAAUGCCGUCCUAAGCUGAGAAGCCAUCUUCCUAACGACAGCCAUGUAAUAUGAAAGGGAAAAACACACUGUUAUUGAAGAACUUAUCAGCUAUGUCACAUCUUCCACACAAAUACUCAGGAAAGUUAAAAGAAAAUUUUACCUCGGACACAGUUGAUGAUUGCUAAAGUCCUAUUGCAUGCUUUAAGAUGCCUUGCGUUUGGUGAAUUGAAGCCUGAUAUGUCAACAUACUCUCUGUAAACACAGCAGCACAGAGGGCAAAGAAACACUUAUCCAGCACCACAGCUAGGACAAAAGGAAUUAUUUUGACAGUAAAUGGACUUGCAGCUUAAGGUUGGUAUGUACCCAAUUGUGACUAAACCAAAAGAAACAAAUCUGGAAACUGAAGUAUCAAUACGUGAAAAGCGUUCUUUUGGUAUUGGGAGUGCCAGUUGUCUUUGUUUCAUGAACUACUUCUCCGUAAUAGCAUGCAGCCAUCUUCAAGAGGUAAAACAGCAUCCCCAGGAUAAACAGGAAUACUACACUCUUCCUUAAAUAACAAAAACUGCGGCUGGGCGUGGUGGCUCACACUUGUAAUCCCAGCACUUUGGGAGGCCGAGGUGGGCGGAUCACGAGGUCAGGAGAUGGAGACCAUCUUGGCUAACACGGUGAAACCCCGUCUCUACUAAAAAUACAAAAAAUUACACAGGCGCGGUGGCGGGCGCCUAUAGUCCCAGCUACCCGGGAGGCUGAGGCGGGAGAAUGGCGCGAACCUGGGAGGCGGAGCUUGCAGUGAGCCAAGAUCGCGCCACUGCACUCCAGCCUGGGCGACAGAGCAAAACUUCGUCUC